AGUUCUAGAAUAAACAAAUGGGCACCAAAAAAUAAAUAAAUAAAUAAAAUAUACCAUCACAUGUCACAUAACUUCAAGGUCAAUAAAUUCUGGCAUUACCGUCAGAUUUUAUUACAAAUAAAGUUAACCCCCAUUAUAGUAAAUAAUCAAAAUUAUUAAUUUUUAUCACCCAAUUGGAUUACUUUUUAAAAUAAUCCUUCUAUAUAUACGACUUUAUAGGAUAUGACUCUGAAAGCUUGUACAGAUUCCCUCAUAGAUAGCACAGUGGGUGCAUGCACUUUGACUUCUCUAACAAAACGUUCCGAAAACAUCCACAACAACCAUUCUCAUUUCUCCUCUCUGAGUAUGGACCUCAACGGUUGGUGCAACUCUGGCAAUCAAAACAUGUGCUGCUGCCAAAGCUAUGUGAAAAGGGGCUAUGAUCGGGUUCUUUCAUUUAACGGAUUGAUUACCGGAUCAAAGACUCCGCGGUGGAGGUUACUAUGGAGGAAGAUCAAGAGAGACAAGAAGAGGAUUUUUGAUUGUUCAUCAGGUGGUACUGAUGUACACGUGCCGUAUGAUCCUUGCACGUACUCACAGAACUUUGAUCAGGGGUACGAGUGGGCUGAUCCGGAUAACGCCUCGCGAUCCUUUUCAGCACGAUUUGCUGUUCCUUCGAGGGUUUUUCAGAAGAGUGAAUUGGCUGCUUGAUAUUGCAAGACCAAUAUGUGAACAAGAAAACGGUGUGUUUCUUUCUUUCUUUUUCUUUUUUUCCUCUUCUUUAAAUUUUGUGUGACAGUUGUUCUUGAUGACUAUUUAUCAGUAAUUUUGUAGUUUCAAUGUUAAUUAGAUAUAUAGAAUGUCUCCUCAUCGCCAUCUUCUUCUUCUUCUUCUCUUGGAUCACAAGUAACUGAAGAUGCUUUAACAGUAACUUGAGCUUCUAUAACAGUUGCUUGAAGUAAUUAAUUAAUUUCUUGCAAGCUCAAGGGAAUGCACAUGAAUUGAUUUAUUUUCUUCAGAUUUAAACAAUAUUAAUUAUGAUAAUAGUUUAUGUUGAUGAAUGAUGAUAAGUAUUCCAAUCUUCACGCCGACAAUAUGUUAUUGUUACUAUUAUCUUGCAGCUUGAAGCAACGACUUACUAGAAUAUAUGAAAUGAGCUUAGGCAGUUGAAAACUGAAAUGCAUUAGCUUUCUUAGGGCUAGAUGAGGCAAAAAAAAUUAUUGGUACAAUUAGAAUAAUGAACCCUUAAUGCUGUAGUUAUGCUGCUUAAAAAAAAAUUAAAAAGUAUAUUGAUCUAGUGGUCCUGAGCCUACUGCAGUGUAUGGGGCACUAACCCAGCUGGUCUUCAAGAAGUUACUAUACAUACAAGCAUGUGCUGAACAAUAUUAUAAGCACAACUUCAAAUCAAAAUAAUAAAGGCAAAACUUUUUUAUUCUUCCACAGGGUUAAAUUCUUUUUAUUGAGUCCUAUAUAAGUUUUAGCUCCUGCUCGUCGGCCUUUAAGAAAUAGUCAAACAAUCUGAUCAUGCUGAACAGUCAUUUUCAUAGCACUCAUCUUUUACUCGCUCUUUUUUUUUUUUUGGGGGCAAUGCAGCUUAUCUUCAUUGGAUUCUUUUUGGUUAGUAGGGUCACUGUAUGUGAAAAGUGAUAUAUGCAAAUGAAUUUAUUAAUUCAUUUUUCCCAAGGACCCAUCCCUCUCCCCAUUGAAAUUUUUGAAAUUCAACUAGUAAAUCAGAAAUGUCUUUGAAAUUUCACAAGCAAGAAAUAUGGUCCACUAAGCACUUUUUUAAAGAAGUCAAAGAUUCAUCUGGCAAAAUGUCGGUUCAUUCCUUCCAUUGCAAGUCUCAUGAAAGUGUGUACGCAUUAUAUGAUGGAUAAAGUAGUGGCAUAAACAAAUUUAGUAUAAAAUUAAAAAUUAAGAAAAAAAGGGGGAUUUUUUGGAUCCAACCAACAACCAAUAACAAUUUCAUUGACUUAGUUAUUUAGUGGCUCAUUGAAUUUCAACAUCAUAAGGUAAAAUGUCAGUUCCUUAGUAACGCUUGUCACUAGUUGUACUUCCACAAGAGCAAUUAUGAAAUUGAUUGACUUGGAGUGGGAAAAUAAUAAUGCCCUGUGAAUUAAGUUAUGUGGGCAGAUAUGAUGAAGUCUUAACAAAUGAAUUUGCUUCAGAAAAUGGUUUAGCAGAAAAACUAGAAAAGAAAACAGUGAAAUCAUUCUCAAACACAAACAAUGGUUGAGAUAAGCUUCAAAACAAUAAAGAUGCUUACCAAACCUGCUUUUUGUCUGUUUUCAAGCCAAUGUCACCUCAAAACAAUCAACAAUGGAAUGCAAAGCGCCUUCGGAUUUCAAGUUACCAUUAAUUAGCUUCCCACAUUUUUGAUAAAGCAUUUUUUGUAGAGCCCACGUAUUAGAAUGCAGAAACAGGCAAUAUAAGCUUCUGGGCAAUUGCAAGAGCCAGCCAACAAGAUGUAGACACUUCUGCAGGUUUUCUAACUGUACUGAGUCCUUAGUUUUUAUGACUUCAACUACCUGCUUAAGAGCUUCUCCAUGUUCUACAUAAUACCAAGGCAACUAAAAGAAACAACUUCAUCUACUCUAACUAACAAUUAAAUGCAAAUCAUUAUCUGCCACAAUAUAAAUGAAGAGGACAAAAGAACUACAUUCAUGAAGUAAAACUCUUCAAUUCUGUUUUCUCCUAUUAGUUCUGCCUAGCUAUUAGAUUUCACAAUGAUUACCAAACACAAAAUAGUUCGUUUCUCAAAUGCAUCACAUGUACAAGACUAAUUAAACUGCACUGAAUGCAACCGGCAGCGUAAAUUUCUUUAGAGUCUUCAAAUUCUCACCCAUUCAAGCAAAUGUCACAUAAAGGACUCGUACAAUUGAACCAAAAGGAAAGCUUGGCUCUCCAGCCGACAUGUGCCUUAUAAACAUAAGUUAAAAUGCACAGGGCUUUUGGCAAUCAGAAUUUUCUGAGGGACUUUCUGCUCCGAGGGGCUUUCAUAAAUAACAUAAUCAACUUCCACAUUACGAUAAGUCACACAGUGGAAAAUUUCAUCUAAUGCCAUGUGAUGAUGUGAAACAUAUGUCACAAGAAGGAAGCAGUUACUAUGCGAUAUAACUUGUAAAAUUCUUCAUACUAAUUUUAUCGUAUUGGAGGUCCCCUUAGAUUUCACUGCAGCGACAGUCUGCCAGCAGUGACUUAAAUUUCUAGUUGCAAUAGAUAUACAAAAUAUCAAUUAAACACGCCAAUGCGCACGUAGCCCAUUGGCAAUCCAUGCGCCCAAAAAAUCUUGGGCGCAUGGGUUCUGGCUGGGACUCGACUCCUCUCUUAGUAGAGGUUUACUUGUUUCUCUGCAUUUGAGAUAAAAUAAAUCUCCCUCCAGUAUUAAAAGUGAUAAUAGAUUUCUCUCCAAUAUUAAGUGAGGGUCAGCCUUCGAGCUAUGUCAUAAUAGGAUUAUUAACGAAAGUCUCAAAUGAUUUCAAAUCAUAAAUAUCCGUAGACCUCUGAUUGUAAUAUAUCAGUAUAUAAAAAAAAAAAAUCAAUUAAACACACUAUCUAUUCAAGUUUUGAUAUUGAUAACAGAAAAAAGCCUUGACUGGAAACUCAUAAACCAAAACGUCCAGUGAUUUGACAUAUGCACCCUGAAACUGAAUGAUUUUUGAACAUAACAUAGAAUAUCAAGCCCAUAAAUUCAGUGACAAAUAAAAAUCAACGGCUAUUAUUCAUUGCAAGAAAUUAUCAUGUUCUAUUCCAAGUACUGCUGCAUAAUUUAGGUAGCAAACUGUAGCCUCUCUGUUUAAUAACACGCAUUUGAUUUCAUGCAUAAAUAAUGUGUAAGCAAAACAAUUAAUACAUGUUUCAUUCAUAUACAAAAAACAACAUGUGGCAAAUCUAUUGCUGCAUUCGGGUUACCUGUGUGAAAAGAGAAAAAAAAGGAGCCAUUUAUAUAUACCAUCUUGAAUGGAAAUGCUGCAUCAUUCACUUCAUGUCAUUACUUAAGCAAAAUAGGAGCCUUUUUAUUUUCUAUAUAAUCAUAGAGAAAAUGGAGACAAUGGCAACUCCAAGAUUACAAAUCCGAGCAGAAUCUGGCAGACAAAAAAAAAAAGCAUAAUCAGAAUUGAACAAAUUUUUUUCUCAGCAAAUUGAGGGGUGACUGGAAUGAGUCAAAAUUUGAAAAUAAUUAUCUUACUACAAGGUCUAGGCUAAAGAGAAGCCACAGACGACAACCACAGUAUAAAUGCUGAAAUCUAUAAAAACUGCCCGGGCAGUCUGAUACACCACCAAGCUUCUUUCCAUUAGUUGAAUUGCUUGUGUCAUGUUAUUCCCAUCUUCCUGAGGUUCCACAUUUUCUUUCUCAGCUUCUUCAGACUGUUUUUGCUGCUUAAGAAACACUUGCGCAAGCACAAUUGUUACAUCAGUUAGCAAGAGAAUGUAAAGAGGCCUCAGGGCCUCAACACUCUCUGAGCUUACAAUAUUGAUUCCAAGUAGUGCAUCAUCAAUAUAAGACAGAACCACCAGAAGUGCUAUCAGGAGAGCACAUAAACUGCGAAUACCCUGAGACGCGAUAAUGCACGAGUUAAUUUGCUUGCAAGAGAAUAGAAUUGGUUUUGGUAGCAGCUCUGUGUCAUUUGAUGGCUUUUCAACUAUUGGCGCUGCCGGCAUUGGCUCUGGCUCUGGCUGUGACUUGGUGCUUUCAUCCGCAGCAGCAACUUCAUUAACGCUUUUGGCAUCAUAUUUGGGCACCUGAGGAUCAACUUUUCUUUCAUGUUUGGGCACUUGAGGUUCAACUUGUCUUCCAAUGUCAUAAGUUUUUUCCCUUGGAACAACUAGACUACUAUGUUUCAGCAAUUGAUGAGGACCAGAGGGAGUAAUUGGACCCUCAGUACCAGCUGCAGGGCCAAAGAAGCCAAAAGCAACUUUACAAACUUAAAAUUCGCAAAAGAAUGCAUCAAUUCGAUUACUACAAGUCCUACGCAGAAUCUAGAAGAUAGCAAUAGCCAGUACUAAACAAAUUAACCAGAGUUCCUCUGUUAAUCGGCAUGGUCCAUAACAACUUUCUUUAUAGUAAAAAAAAUACAAUGGGAAUUUACUCCCAAAAUGAAUUUGAACCAGACACCAAACCCAUCUAAGAUGAAAUUAGGUCAAACAUUCAACGAAAGAAUUAAACUAUGUCACACUCACAUUCUAAAAACUUCAGGAAAGAUUUGAAUCCCAACACCAUAAAAUGUCCAAAGGAUAUGUAAAGGAAAAUGAUGACAUUCAUGCAUGCAUUAUAUUGUCACGUAACGGAAAUGGAAUAAAGAAUGGAUGUGAGGUCACCGUUGCUUUGAUUAGAGAUGAGGCUUUGAAGAUGGUCAUGAUGAUCGCGGGUAAAGACUAAAGAUUGUGUUGAUAAAUGAGUGGUUGCAGCACGAUGAUGAUGAGGACUUGAUAUUGGAGACGAAGGGAGGCUCUGGAUUCGGCCGCUGAUGAGAGCUAGACGAUCCGAUCCUCUGUCUAAUAUUCUCUUUCUUCUUUCUUCUCUGCUACUGCCGGUAGCCAUCUUUUCUCUUCUUCUCCCAUGCAACUUACCACCAAUAUAAUACCUCUCUCUUUUUGCGCCUUUAGAAAUGCCCCUUCUGUUAUUCUAUUGAAUAAUAUUUUAGACUUGUAAAUUUUUAGAAAGGUUAGGGGCAUUUUUGUAAACGCGUGGGUAACCUAUUUCUAACUUAAUAGAUAAAAUUCGGGGUUUUUAAUUAAAUAUGCCUUAAAAGUAGUGUAUUUAGUUAAAUAUACCCCAUGUUUGAAAAUUAUCUAAGUAUGCCCUUUUAUGUGGUAUAUUGUCUAAAAUAUCCCUAAAGAAAAAUAUAAAACACACACAACUCACAACACUCUUUGCUUCUCACGUAUUUAUCACCUAUACAAAAACUCACACCACACUCAAAAUCACUCACAAACAGCUAAUGCACUGAGUUUGUUUGCAGCUGGGUGUAUUAUUCAUCCCAUGAAUAAGGUAUUUGAAACUUUUUUUAUUUUAUUUUGGGCUAUUUAUUCAAUUUGUUGACAUUAUAUUAUUUUUAGGGUUUUGUUUGGUUUGUGAUAAACACUAAAGCAACUCAUAUUUUCAUUACAUUUGCAUCAUAUGACUGUUAUUUGAUGGAUUUUAUAACUACAUUCGUUAAAAUCUAAAGUUGUUGUCAAAUUUUUUUCUGCACUCGACAUACACGACAGUAGUUGUGUAUGUAUGUAUUUACACGACUGUAGUCGUGAAAAUGUGCAAAAAAUUUCAAUUAUUAUGACACCUUAUCAUUCUAUUGGUUCAAAAAAUAUAUAUUUUUCACUAUAUAUAUAUCCUUUUACUAUUACUAGACUAUAGUCGUGUGUGUUAAUAAGUUACACGACUACUAGCGUGUACGUAUGAACUUACAUACUAUAAUUGUUAAUAAGUUACACGACUACUAUGAACCUUAUAUACUUGUUAUUUUUUGUUGUUUUAAUUUUUUUUAAUAUCUUUCAUAUUUAGUGAUAAAUUUCUACCUUUUUGUUUCGCAGAUGAAUAAACAUGUUUGUGUGACUUUCUAAGAACAAGUAUUGAAGGGAGGCGACCAGAGGCUUAUAAAAUAUGGACCGAGUGUUUUGGUUGAAUAUGCCAAAAAUUUAUGAUGAAUGUUAAACAACUUCUAUUGUAUUACGACUUAUUUACAAUUUCAAUAACUAUUGGAUUUGUGUUAUUUGAUAGGCAACCGGACUAUAGUUAGUUUCAUUUAUUUGAAGUUUGAUAUGUUUAAAAUCUAUAUUGAUUGUGUCAUCAAUAUAAUGAAUGAUUGAAAAGAAUUUUUAUUUUGUGCACAUACCCAAGUACAAUCGUGUAUUUUGGCUGUUACAAAACUGGUCAUGUUUAUUUCUAAAUACUCGACUACAGUCGUGUAUCUGUGCAAAUACCCGACUGUCACAGAGAGCUUGUCAUAUUUAUUUCUAAAUACUCGACCAUAGUCGUGUAUCUGUGCAAAUACUCGAUUGCAGUCGAGUAUUUUAUCACAGAGAGCUUGUCAUUUUUAUUUGUAAAUACCCGACUACAGUCGUGUAUCUGUGCAAAUACCCAACUGCAAUUGAGUAUUUUGUCACAGAGCUUCAUAUGUUUAUUUCCAAAUACCCGACCGCAGUCGUGUAUCUGUGCAAAUACCCGACCGCAGUCGUGUAUCUGUGCAAAUACCCGACUGCAGUCGAGUAUUUUAUCACAGCUUAUUAUGUUUAUUUCUAAAUACCCAACCGCAGUCGUGUAUCUGUGCAAAUACCCGACUGCAGUCGAGUAUUUUAUCACAGCUUAUUAUGUUUAUUUCUAAAUACCCAACCGCAGUCGUGUAUCUGUGCAAAUACCCGACUGCACAAAUACCCGACCGCAGUCGUGUAUCUGUGCAAAUACUCGACUGCAGUAGAGUAUUUUGUCACAGAGCAAAGCCCAGUUGAUGUCAGUCUCUUUGAAGACUGUCCUCUUGAUCACCUCCCUUGUCUUGACCCCAGGUACCCUCUUCAAACAUGAUACGUAUUGUUUUGUUGACUUUCGUAGACAUUAAUUGCUUUUAGCCCAUUAUUAAUUUAUUGCAAAAUAAGGUUGAAGGUGGCUUUGCAGAACAUGGGUAUCUCGUCACUCUUCCCAGUGCAAGUUGCAGUUUGGCAAGAGACAAUAGGCCCUGGUCUAUUUGAACGAGACCUUUGCAUCAAUUCACCUACAGGAAGUGGGAAAACUUUGUCUUAUGCUUUGCCAAUAGUUCAAACAUUGUCCAAUCGUGCUGUUAGAUGUCUACGUGCUUUGGUGGUGCUGCCCACGCGUGAUCUAGCUUUGCAGGUUAACUCUGCUCGAUGCAUAUAUUGUUGUAAAAAUAUUUUUGGAUUGAUUGCGGAUCAUUGGAUUGCUGAAAUGUGUGUGCAAUUUGAUAGUCUCUUGUUUAUUUCUUUGCCUCAGGUCAAGGAUCUGCUGUACCGUACAUCCGCCUUGGCCGUACAGCAGUGAUAUGCUAUCUUUUGAAGUACUAGAGGUAUCAUGUCUGCAACAUGCAGCAAUUGUCUCACCAGUGUAACAAUACAACAACACGACAUCUUUAGAUUAUACUGUCUAUUGGACUGAGUAGCUAGAGAUAUUAAGGUUUAUCCUGUUUUCUAUUUCAUUGGUACCGUAUACACAAGAAUAAUUGUGCGACCACUUUAUUAAGCAUUUUAUAGGGUAUUUGGUCUUUCUAACAUCAUAAGUGGGUCUUUUGAAUGAGUUUUACCAAUUUUUUGAUCAAAUCUCUCUGCACAGACGAAGUAAGUUGAGAAGAAGGCCUGCUAUUCACCUUGUAUGAAAUAUGUGAAGUCACCCAGCCCCCAUAUAUGGCCACCGUGCAUAUCGGUUAUGAACUAUAAUUGAGUGUCAUAUUGCUAAGCUAAGGCUUGGUGUGUAGGUUUAUAAGUAUUCGGACUCCCGCACCUUACAAGCCAUUUUUUUGGAUGAAUUCUACCCGAUGUGUGUGCAAAACAAAUUGGAUGACAAUUAAUCAGAAAAUGAAUAUGUUAAAUCAAUUACUAGUCUAAUCGAGUGAAGCCUUAUUAUCUGACUUUUGCAAGAGAUGAAAAUUAAUGCAAGGUAAAAGACAAGCAUAAGCCUAAUCAAGUGAAGUCUUGUCAUCUGACUUUUACGAGAAAUGAAAAUUAAGCUUUUGGCACAAGACUUUGCACACAUUUCAAUACCAGCUGUAAAUGAUUUUUUCCAGAAAAAUCAAUAACUUGAGCUUUGAAGCUUUCAAAUUUUAUUUUACAUUAAAAUAAAAAAUUUGACUUUCUAAAAGUACCUGGAAGAGGAGACGCUGAAGCAGAGUGGGGGAAUUGCAGCUACUGGUUUGUAGAGAGGCGAGAGUGUGUAGAAGAAUAGUUGUAAAAUGACAGGGAUUUGUAAAAUGGAGGAGGAGAAAUCCAGAAGAACGGGCUGAAGAAGAAGUUGCUCAUGAGAAAAAAUUAGGGAUUUUGUUACACGAUUGGUUGUGGUAGUUUAGUUGAUUUAGAUUUUUCAUUAGGGUAAUUUCAUAACUGCAUAUUAGAAAAGGCAUAUACGAGGAAUAUUUGAGUAUGGGGGUAUUUUUAGAUAAAUACCUUUUUUUUGGGGUAUACCACGGACAAAUCCCUGAUAAAAUUCAGUUUGAGUUAAGAAGUUUUAGAAGAGCGAAGUCGUGCGGUUUAGAGGCGAGAGAGAGCGAGACUGAAGUUCUUCACCAUCAACUUUCAUUUUCGUCGGCAGUUCGUGGGUAUCUCGCUGGUAUAGACGAAACGAGCAUCAAAACCUAAGAUUGAAGAUUAGUUAAUCAUGGAGCUUUGAACUUAUUAGUUUUAAUAAUUUACCGUGAAAAAAAAGAAAUUAGGACUUGUAAAAUUCAAAAUUGAGGAUGCUACUUUAUGAUAAUAAAGAUUGUUGUUUUGCUCUUGAUAACUUCGUUUACCUUAAAAACACAUGACAGCAGAGUAAGAACAUUAACAAAAAUAAUUUCUAUCGAAGUUUCAGACUUGCAGAUUUAUAGACUUGCCAAAAAGCUUAGAAAUCGAGAACACGACUAGAACAAUCUAAGAAACUCUAAUACUGCAAGAUCAGGCACAAUGAAAUUCACCACACACAUGGCAAGUGAAUAAGUGACCUGUAUAUUUAAGUAUAAUUGAUCAUGUUUUAUGAAACAAAAACUAAAUCAUAAAUACUCUUAACACCUUUGAUUAUUAGUAAACAUCAAAACUAAUCUUAUGAUAAAUAUUAAAGAUAAUGCGGCUUCAUAAGAGAGCAUGCAAGAUUUAUAAAGAUUAUUUUAAGGCAUUAGUUGAAGAAAUAUUAAGGGUUGUUUGAAUUUUGUUGAGAGAAUAUGGUGAUUUUGGUGAAGUAUUGGAUAAUUUUGUAGGACAUGCUUUUGAUGAAGAUGAAAGGGGUAUUUUAGACUAAAGCCCACCAAAAUGUCAUAGGCAUUAAAUCCUGUGCAGUUGUCAUAUUUGUAUAAAGUAUGUAUGAUUUUGUCAUAUAAAUAUAAAAUACCACAGAACAGAAUUCUCCGCAGGGUUGAGGCUAGGCUCGACAAAUGUGACAAACCUGUGGUGUGUUUAAUAUUUUUUAUUUUACUAAAUCACUUUGUAUUAGAAAAAGUACAACUCGCAUACACAAAUAUGAUAAACUAUUCAAGAAAAUAUUGGACUAAAUUUUGCUAGGGGCUGCACUCAAAAGAGUACAACACCUCCAAAAAUUGAAGUAUGCCGCUGAAAGUGGCGAGCACACGGUAUUCUUUAGUAAAAGGCGAAAGAAUAGUUCGCUCUGUGCUCACAACACGGCUCCAUAGUAACACUUGCGAAAAUUAUCCAUAUUAUAUACAUCUAUUCUGGUAACUGGCUUGAUAACUUAGCCAUGUGGGACUAUAUGCAUAACUAUAUCUUUUCGCUUGUUAGCUCUUCGAUUAAGCAGAUGACAUGACACUGCACAAUGUUCUAUAUGGAUUCAUAAAUUACAGUCUAUGAAAUGUAUUUAUAGGGUCCGCCUACGUUGCAACAGUUGCAACGUACCACACUUUUUGUCUCCAUUCUAGACAGCCAUUGAAUGUAAACUAAAUGAAUCUAAUGGUUGAAAAUAAAAAGGAGUAAAGGUCUAUAGCCGGUUGUAGACAUGUACUGUAUAAAACUUAUUGAUUCUAGUUAUUUUUUUUGUUUUUUGAAGAAAUACCGACUCUAGUUUGAGAGGCGUCCAUCCAAAGAUUUUGCACACCCCUGCAAUUGAGAUCAUCGAAAUCUUUUCCACCCCCAAAAAAUCCGAUGAUUGAAGUGUUUUUCAUCCCCAGAAAUAGUGAUUAGUUUUGGUGUCUCCCGAUAAAAUCAUAAACGACGUAAGUAAAACUGACGGCCGAUAUAUGACGGUGGCAACUAAUCGGAAAAGAUACUGGGCGGUCGUGUAAGUUUAGGAAUUACAGACAUCGAUUUGCCUCAUAACUUGCCUCAUAAUAGAGUCAAUUUCUCGCGUGCACUGGAUCAAUUAGAAUUUUUUUUUUUGCAGAAGUUGUCAUUAAUUAAUUUUCUAUUUAUUGCUUUUCUUUUCAUGUUUAAUACCCGAAAUAUGUCUCCUUUGUUGAACUCUCUUUAGCAAGAAUGGCAUCUGAAACUGUAUUUUUCUUCUUCUUCUAUUUGGUUUUAGUUUUUUCUUCUUCUUUUUUUUGGUUUUAGUUUUUUCUUCUCUGAGGAAUUUCGUCAAACAGGUAGCAGGCAUGAAAUAUAUCUAAGCUCUUUUCAACUCAAAUGUAAGAUAACACACAAAAACAUGUUAAUCAUCCAAAUCCUUUCCCCCAGUGCUUUGCAAUUGUGUUCUUACGAUUUUGCUGUCAACGAUGCAAUUAUCAAAUAAAAUCAAUUACACCCAUUGCACAAACAAAUUCGCCAUUUAAUUCAUAUGCCUUACAGACCCACCCCAGGAUGCAACAUACAUGAAUCUUGAAGAUCUUCUCCCCCAACAAAUUGCAACAUAUGUAAGGAAAUCGAUUUAGGUGUUUGUACAUUCUUUCGCAACCACGAGCUGCUAAACCUUAAUUUCUAUUUUCAUAAGAAAUCUGCAUCUAACUGGAUGAUUUUUUGUGGAACUGGCUUCAACGGUUACUGGUUGAUACUGUCUUUAUCACCUACCUAAUUUGAAGCGUUAGAUUUGUUUAGUUUACAUCCAACGGCUGUCUACAAUGGAGACAAAAAGUGUGGUACGUUACCAUAGUGGUAACAUAGGCGGACCCGUAUUUAUAAUACUAAAUUACCUUCUUAUUUUUUUGGGCAGAUUUUAGUCAGUUGUAAUAUAUUUUUUUAGCAUAUUAAAUUUAAAAUAAUAAUAAAGAUACCAGUACACUGACAGAUCGAAACCACUAAAGAAAUCUAUAUCAGGAAUCAGGAUUCCACUUCUUAUCUCUUGCUGGAAGGAUCAUAAACAAUUCCUCAACACCAUACUAUAUGAUAUGUGAUUGUUGCAAAGCAUGAUUAAUUUUCAGUCACUUCCUUUGAUUAAACUUUAAUUCAUACUAAUUAGCCAAUAUCUUUCACUUUGCAUUAGAAAUUAGAUGUCUUGAAGUUUCUAAUUUCAAAGAAAGUGCAAGGUACAAAACAGAACACAAGGCACUAAAUAACGCAUUGAACACCGGCAAACAAGCAAAGAUUGGAACACCAUUUGAUAAUCUAAAUAAGUAAUCCUUGAGUUGGUCAAAUUUUGCUAUAGAAUUGGUAGGGGUACGCCAGGCCCUUGCAAUAGUGCAACGCACGGGCGACGCUCAGGGCACACAGUAGCAAGCUACUGCAUUGAGCCCUCCCCAGGAAAAAUUAAUUUAAUAUCGUGUGGACCGAUGAUCCACAUAUCAGAUAUUAAACUGAUAAGAACAGAUACUACACUUGAUCUUAGCCAAAAGGCCGAGAAAGGUAUGAGUUACUCAAUUUAUCUCCUCUGUUUUUAUAGCUCUGUUUGGCACUCGCUUCUGUUGUUCUAUCGAUGUGGAACAUAAGCAAUUGAGAAGAGAUCACUUGAAUUUUCUGCAUUGAAAUGCAACGUACGGUAUUGGUGAUUAAACAGUUGGUUAGUUCGAGUUCUAGAAAUCAGUGAGAAUAUACUUGUUAACAGAAUUGUGUCAAUAACAGAGCAGCGUCGGGAUCCUGAGUUGUAUUGUACACAAGUUACUGUCAAUUGCCAUUCAAAAAAGAAAAUAAUAUAUAUCAUCAGAAUGCCGGUCCACGCAGCAAUUUUGACACAAACACAAUAUCUUUCACAACUAAAAAUUGCUUCCUUCUCCCAGUCGUGCCAAGAUGCUUGCAUUUCUAUAGAUUGAACCAACCAUCCCCAGUAUUGAAAAGUUAUACUCUUUAUAGCAAGCUUAUGAUCGAAUGUGGCCGUUUAAGGAAAUUGGCUCACGUGUUGGGCAAUUGAGUCGGCAAGUCAAUGACAAGAAAUUUUAAAACUAAAGAAUUGUAGGGCUUUACCCCGGAGGGAGCCCUUCCAGAAAUUCUCGAAGGCCAGGGCUGAACCCAGGCCUAGGAGGGGGUUUGGAAAUAGUUUUCAACCAGCAAUAGACGCGCCUCGGUUAGAACCUCACUAGCUGCGUCAUUGCCCCAAGCGCAAAGAUGCUUUGAGAUUUUGAAUAGCUCUCUUAAUAAAUUGAUUCCAUCACAGUCUAUAUUGCUAUCCGGUCCAUGUGGGACUUAGCUUGUUGUUUGAGGACUUAGCUUGUGCUCAGUCCCAGCUUGUGUUAUUGUGAGUGAAGGGUAUGAUGACUCUCCCAAGCUAAGUUCCACAAGUAACGUCUUUUUUUCUUUUUUUUAAUCCACCAUAACCUAGUCUUUGAUAAAAAAUUUAACCUCGAUUAGAAAGAGCGUAGAUUCAAUUGGUAUUGAGGAAGAGACAUUCGAAUUUAUCAUUAUGGCUGCGUUAUGUUAAGAAACAACUUCUACAUUCUAGUGGGAUGAGGAAACGUCAUCUUUGUGGAAUUAGCAUCAUCUUCGAAAUUGUUAAUUUGUGAACAGGAGCUUCUGUUACCUGUGCCAACGCAGCUGGAGCAGAUUCUGGCAUUGGCAAAAAUGCUUUCGUGGAUCAGAAUUCUUCUGCGUGAAGGGAAAUUGAAAAAAGUGAGAUCCCGGCUGUGAAGUAGCUUCAAAAGUUUUAGAGCCAUCUAGUUUCAGUCAGGAUUAAUUGAGUGGCACACGUAGAGAAGUUCUUUUAGACACAUUUGAAGUAGUAAUCAGUACCAUGUAUUAAUACCAAAAAACCAAAAAGAGAAGGGAAAAAUUGUAGUAGCGAACAUGAGUGUGAAAACCAAUCUCCUUAUAGCAGAAUGAUCAUAUUACAUACAAUGUGAGGGAAAUUGAAUACUCUUGCUGGAAGGAUGGAUCUUUGUGAAUAAUGUUGAAGAUUUGUUUUCAUCACACUAUUUAAGUUCCUAACAAUUCUUUACACCCUCAAAAAGCUUUUAGACAAAUUAUGAGGUAAAUUAUCUUUAUAAGAACUUAAAAUAUGAUUUAUUUACUCUCAAAAUUUUGAUAAAGAUUCGGGGGGGCCCAGAGGUAACAUGUUAAUUGUACAAAACAUAAAAUACGAUUUAUCUUCGCUAAAAUUUCAUUUGGUAUAAGUCAUCAGGCCCUUGCAGUAGUGCAACGCAUGAGCGAGAGACAAGGGGCUCUCCGCAGCAAGCUUUACCCUCAUAUCCCAGAAAACGACCAAAGGUACGAUUUAUUUCGGUCCACAAUAAAACCACACUGCUUAGAUUAAAAAUAAAAAAUAAAAAAUAAAAAUUGAGAUCUCACUUGGUGGGGUGCGCCAGGCCCGUGCUGUAGUGCAACAUAUGGGCGACGCGCAGUGCUCACGGUAGCAAGCUACCGCAUUGAGCACUCCCCUUAAAAAAUUAAUUUAAUAUCGUGUGGAUCGAUGAUCCACAUAUCAGAUAUUAAACUGAUAAGAACAGAUACUACACUUGAUCUUAGCCAAAAGGCCGAGAAAGGUAUGCUUUGCUUCAUAUCUUGGUUCUGCAUUUAUAGCUUUGCUCUGCAUCUUGCGUACGUUGCCCUGUCGAUGUGGGACAGAAUUAACUCCCUGUCAUACCUAGCUCAAGAAAGAAGCUAAUUCUCGAAUCCAUUCAAGAUUAAUUCACAAGUCUUAGUUUCAUACAGAUCUCACUAAACCUAGAGAUUACAUUAAACCUACCAAAUCAAAGAGGGUGGCUACCUGGUUCAAUUUGUUGUUGUUGCACAAUCAAGACAGAGCAUUUGCCGUUAUAAUCUGUUGAUGCAAGCAAAUCUCCAAGAAUACCAAGCCCAGGAAAUUCGCUUCAUUCUUUCAAUCCUGAAGUCUGCGGUGGCGACCCCAAAUUAUAUCUUCUUCCAACAAUAAUCAAAUUAAAUUCAUUCACCAUUGAUCUAAUAACAAUUGCUGUUUCAGGCCCAUCCACAGCCUUCUCAACGUCAUUAGAACACCCAUUAGUUUUAACACUCCUUAAUGACAGAGUAUCCCGCACUUUGUCCUAAUCUUCAAACCCAUCGUCUUUAGCAUUUUGUAAAAUGUACCAUGGUGAGACAAACCCUAGAGUCUUGUGCCAUCCUUUUGCCCAAAGUUCAGGCUUCCCGGUCAUCAGCGCUGCCAAAGAAGACCAUAGCAACAUCAUAUGAUGGUAAUUCAUUUGCAGAUGUAUCUUUACUUUGACGCCUUAAAUUGCCAUGGUCAAUCAAGAUUUUUAUCGAACAAGGAGCUUUUUCAAGGACCUUGGAAUUUAAAAUCCUGAUGCUUUCAUCCUCUGAUUCUUGAGCCAUCAAUGUACCAUCUACGAUGAAAUGGGAGGAUUAUAAGAGAAGCAACCUUGUCCAAUACAAGUGUGCAUACAUCAUCUUGCAUUAAACUCGGAGGAUAUACGGCUGUAAACGUGUUAAUGGAUAAACAUUUUCUAAAUGACACUAAGUAGACAGAGCAUCUCUGUUCUUUUAGUGAGGAAUGAAGAUUGGGGUUGCCUGGCCUCUAAGCUUGACAAGAUGAAGCACAUUACGAGCCAUGGGAUUAACUUUUAUAGGGCAUGCGAUGUCUAAAAAAUUGAUUACUGUUCUCAAAUUGUCUGGAACAUGAAUAGAAGCAACGAUUUGUAGCUCCAAAUGGGGCAUCAAAUCAAUAAUGUUUCGUUUUUUAUUACCUGCAUACUUUUUAAAGGAUCAUAUAGCUUGAUUACUAGCAUAGGCACAAUGCUUGCCGAUAAAAUGCUUAGAAGAAACAUAUAAGAGUACAACUCUCUAUUCAUAACCUGCAUUUUAGUAAAAGAAAACAAAAAUAAGAAAUGUAUAUCAGCAAAGAAUUAGUCCAAACCUUUUCUUCCAAAGUUAUUGGCUUAAAUGUAAUACCCUUUUGUCCGAGAGGAAGCUGAAGAUGCCAAGCUCAAGAACACCUUUACAUCUCAUUAUGGAAGCGAGUGCAAGAGCAUCUUUUGUUGGCAUCUUACUACACAAAGGAGGCAACAAACACACAACAAAUUUCACCACGGAAACGAAGCAGCGAGCAUUACUGCUUGUUAAUGCAUUCUUCUUACCGAAGAUAUUAAUUGUGCUUACUCUCAUCCCAUAAGCAAUCACAAAAAAUGGCAAGAGCAAGUUAUUAUCCGUGCUUUCGAGCUUCUCAAACAAAGCAGACCCAAAUGGCGCCAAGACCAAGAGCAUGUAGUUACCGAACCAUUUGCCUAUACAAACACUAAAGAGAAACAAAUGGGUGAUUAUUGUGGUGAAUAUUGAUUGCCGAGGUUUGCCUUCUGGUGUACAUCUUAUUACCAGUUUCACUGUGGGUCUAAAAACGAAGAAAACAAAGGAAAGAUGGACACUAACAUAAAAUAGUUCUCUCAUAAAUUUUCUAACGCCAUUAGUAUUGCCAUCCUCGCAAAAAUGCUAGCUAUGAUAAAAGUUAGAUCAUUAAUGAUAGCUGAAGAUAGGCCUAUUCGUCUAAGUUCAGAAUCUGUGAUCCUUAAAUUAUUGAGGAGACUAUAGACGGCCGGAGAUGUAGUAGUUGCGUAACCUGGAGAAAUGAAUAAAGUUUUCCAGUGGUUGUCUUGGUCAAGGCCAAGAUACGGAAGGAUUAGUGAGCGACAACUAAAGGCGCUGCCACAGAAAGAAGGCCAGCAUAUAAGGCUCUUUUGCUAGCUCUAAAUAUCAUCCUUGGAUCCAUUUUCACUCCCAUUAAGAAGGGGAAGAAAGCAAAGCCAAAUAUGCCUAUUGUUCCAAGAACUUGUACGCUGCCGUCUGUCAUCAAGCUCUCUGCUAGAUCUUUUGAGAGUAUCGCCGGAGAAAGAAGAAGGCCUAUAGUUCACAAAAAUUAUCACAAUAGCUCAGUUAAAUUGCCCAUCUAAUAACUAAAGCAAAAGCAUAUUUUCAUUAGAACACCAUUUUUUUAAUAUUGGCUGUAGGUUUGGUUGCACAAAUUUUUCUAAUUUUGUUUCUUAACAAAAUAACACACGUUAAGAUAUGAUCCUUAUGGCUCAAAGUUGAAAGAGAAUAAACCAUAGUUUUUAUAACUAUAUAAUACUAAUAACACACACAUAACACAAGAUUUCUAAAAGUUCAUAACAGCUCACAAUACAGAUGAUCUAAACUCUUACCAGGCAUGAGACAUGUUUUUACAAUAAAGAUUCUCAUUUUAUCUGAACUCUUUGAGCAUUUAAAAAAUUUAUGAAAAAUCUCAAACAAGGAGAGAAUCUUAUUAGUGAAUCUUAUAUGCUUUAUAUAUAUAGAUCUUAAUAAUUUGGGAAAUUAGAAUGAUACAGACAGAAGAGGAGGAGACCAAAAGGAAAGGAGCUCAUACAAGAAGCUGUGAGGUGAACAAUGGAAAUCCCCAGCGUUUGAGAAUGAAAUGAUAGGACUAACUAAUGGCAAAGAUUAAAGCUAUGCUCAGCUCAAAUCAUGGCAAUGAAAAAUCCAGCCAAUGAUAAGCUGAAAAUUUUGAUAAAAACUGCUUGCACAAGCCAACCAACUGUACCUUUGGUUGAAAUAUUUGGCAAAUUCACUUGCGUCUUAUCCACCAUUCAUGAGUGGUUCGUUUUUGCUGCGUUUCGUCAAAGAAGAUAGAGAGGAAAUAAAGAGAGAAGAAAAUUUUGAAGAAAGGAGAGAAUGGAUAAUGGAAAAAAUAAAAUAAAAUAAAAAGAAUCAAAGAUACUCAUUAUAAAAUGUUAUUGGUGAUGAUUAUUGGUAUCUAGUGAAAGCUAGCUAGCAAUGAAGGCUGGUUACCGUUUGAUUUUCUUUUUCUGUUUUGUGUGAUUGUUAGUAUAUUAUGUAUUUGUUUAUAUCCAUUGGGUUUUCCUUUUAUGACAAUGCAACUGCUAAUUACCUAAUUAAAACCUCGAGCUUAUAGAUGUAAAUUCUAACCUUUCUAAUUUUGCAGUUAGAUGAAACGUUAUCGAUGAUGAUUUGUCCCAUUAUUAUUAGAACACCAUAAAGAAAUUUUAGUAUUCAUAAACUGAGAUUUAGGUAUGAGCAGGGAAUUUAAACCGAAGAUGGUUGUAGCCAUAUAUUGUUUUGUACAUACUAUUUUCUUGGAUAUUUGAUUGAUUCUUCAAUCCAACUCCAAACUCUACUGCAGUAUAUGAAAUGAUAUUAAACUUUCAUCAUUUAUAAUACAAGUCAAAAACAUUGCCCAAAUGCCAAAAUAUUUAAGAUUACAAAUUUUUUGGGGUAAAAUCAGAAAGUGAUAAAACAAUAAUUAGACGACGUGCGGAUAAAUGAAUACAAUAGGUGACAACAAUCUUCAUGGUGAGACAUUAUGCAUUUAUUUGUGUUAAAAGCUCACGUUAUACUAGUAAUUAAUAUUAAGUUUAAACUAAAUUGAUAGGGAGCUUUACAAGAGUAAAGCUCCUCCAAAAAUUGGAGUAUGCCGCUAAAAGUGGCGAGCACACGGUAUUCUUUAGUAAAAGGCGAAAGAAUAGUUCGCUCUGUGCUCACCACACGGCUCCUUGACAGCAGAUGGCCACUUAUUGCACAUUAUAUUCGCAUGUAGUAGGCGAGGGCUUGAUCUUCUUAGCCAUGUGGGAUUGUCUUCUACUUCUGCAGGCAAAUUAGAAUGUCUACGUAAUUGUAUAUUGCUGGUACUUGAUGGCAUCUGCAUAAAGUCUUGACUGCCCUUUUGUGAAAUUCAGCAGAUGUUAGUUGCUUAUAUAAUCUUCAUUUGUUAAUAAAUAUGCCAUGACAUGACAAUUAAAAUAUACAAGCUGAUGAUGAAAUUGCUGCAGAAAUAAUUUUUAAUCAUACACACUCUUGCAAGGAGGUCAAAAAAUAGUGUUUCGACAACAGAAAACUGAAAUGAUUUAUGAUGGAGCAGAAUAUGGAUAAUGUUUGGUAGCUUGGACUUUCUAUACCAAUUCCUGGUGUUGAUUCACAACAUUUGAGCUUCUUAGUUACAGACAACCGAGUCUCAGUUCAAAUCACCUUAUUCUAUUAGGUACAAUGAUUUGUCCUGCAUCAACUCUCUAUUAUAUCAAAUCAAUAAAUGUGAAUAGUUAAAUGUUUACACAUUUGAAAAUGCUUUUGGAAUUUUCAAACUUGACCUUGAAUUGUGAGUGGCAUUAGGCUCGGGAAUACUGCUAUUCUUGCCUAAUAAUUGUUAAGAACCAACAAUCACAUGAACUUUUAAUAAAAAAAUGUUAGUCUGAUGAACAGAAACUAAAAAUUGUAAGUUGCAAAUGCUAACUAAACGUCGGCUUGAAAGUAAAAGUUAACUGAUUUAAAAUUUUGAUAAAGAUUCAGUAGGAGUGCACCAGGCCCUUGGGCGACCCACAGGCUUGUAUUUCAGUAGCAAGCUACCAGCUCUUAAACCGUACGCGAGAAUUUUAACAUACAAGUAGUAAUACAAAAACAAAGAAAUUUUGAAACUAGGAAUUGCAGGGCUUUACCCCGGAGGGAGCCCUUCCAGAAAUUCUCUUAGGCCAGGGCCGAACCCAGGCCUAAGAGGGGGUUUGGAAAUAGUUUUCAACCAGCAAUAGACGCGCCUCGGUUAGAACCUCACUAGCUGCGUCAUUGCCCCAAGCGCAAAGAUACUUUGGUAUGCUGAUUAACUCUCUUUAAUAUUUUGCUUCCGCUAGGGUCUGCACUGCUAACUCGUCGAUGUGGGACUUCGCUACUAUUCAAGCUUAGUUUUUAGGUUGCAAGUGAAAUAAAAGAUCGAAGUUUCUGCUCUAUGGUGAGUGGAGGAAAAUAUUUGAUGCUUCUUCCAAGCUAAGGUUUGCAUGUCUUAUCUCUUCUUCCGCUUGUAUUUUAGUUUCUUAACCCAAUAGCACAUAUACAGACAUUACAUUGUUUAGAGAAAUCAACACUGGUUCUACUGAAAGAAUGACAACAUUAUUAAGCGAAUUAGUUCUUUAAGAAUGAAGUGGCGUAUGGAAAAGGUCUGUCCUCGUAAAAACGUCACUUUUGCGCAGUUAAAUAGCGUCAUAUUCCAUAAUUGUUAGUUUGUGAAUCGGGCCUCCUGUUACUUGUGCCAAUGCAGUAGCAGCAAAUCCUGGCAUUGACAAAUAUACUUUCGUGGAUCAGAAUUCUUCCUGCAUCAGAGAAAUUGAGGAAGUUGCAUACGUAGAGAAGUUCUGCAUAUUCGUCUACUUGUAGUAUACAGGAGCCCAAAAGUAACACAAUCUUGACUGACUACGAAACCAAUCUCCGUAAUUACAGAAUGAUCACACUAACAAUGCGAGGGAAACUAAAUAAAUCAUGAACUUGCAGCAACGAUCAAUCAAUUAGUAAACUCUUCCGAAAGGGAUCCGAAAAAAUUGGUUUUCACCACACUCCUUACAAUCGGCAUGAAAAAGAUCUAAGUUAUUCAAAAAUCACUUGCAUCAUAAUUUGUUUACUCCAUACUCCAAAAGUUUCGACGUAGAAUUGGUUGGGGUGCGCCAGGCCCGUGCAGUAGUGCAACGCGCUGGCGACGCUCAGGGUUCACAGUAGCAAGCUACUGCACUGAACCCUCCCCUUAAAAAAUUAAUUUAAUAUCGUGUGGAUCGAUGAUCCACAUAUCAGAUAUUAAACUGAUAAGAACAGAUACUACACUUGAUCUUAGCCAAAAGGCCGAGAAAGGUAUGUUUUGUUAAGUGUCUCGAUUCUGUUUUUAUAGCUUCCGUCUGCAACUUGCUUAGGUUGCCCUGUCGAUGUGGGAAAGAAUUUGCUGCAUCUGAUAUAUAAGUUAAGGAGAUCAUGAGAAUGGAUUGUGUGACCUUUCGGCAUUGAGCUGCAAGGUAUUAUCAUGAACUGAUUCAGUUAUUUUAGCAUUUUUAGCCCAUGAGUAAAAAGCCUUUCACUCAACCUUCAACCUUUCGUUGUUGUUGUAACUCACAUUAAGACGAAGCAUAGAUGGAUCGUUUAAAAAACAAAUUGAUAUUCUUGUUCUGACAAGGUAAGCCAACUUUCAUUAGUACUUUACAUUAAAGUGGGUAUAGCGAAACCAACAUCUUUUAUGGCAUGAAUCAAGGCCCCAUUAUUAUUAUGUGGUGUCAAGCCAACCUUUUGCUUCAUCACCAAGAAGCCGAAAUGGCACUGGAUAAGGGAACUUAAACGGUAAAAAUUUGAAAGAAAAAGCUGCUUUAUCAAACUGGAAAAGGAUUCUUUUCCCGUCCUUCUCUAUAUGCAACAAUGGGAAAUAUCAAAUAAUCGUGACUCAAUUAAUUGUAGCAAUAAUGAUGUAGAAGAUGAUAUGGGCUUAAUUUGGGUGUGAGUUAUACCAAGACUCAUGCCAUUACCAACAAUGACGGAAUCAAAACCAUGGUAAAAAUUAUGAGUGCUCAAAUUUUGACACCAGAAAUUGUGUUUUCAAAACUGCAAUUGAUUUAUCACUAGAGUUUAAGAUCAUCAGCCUAUUAUAGAAAUUAGGGGUGGGCAUUUGGUUCGGUUCAGUUUGAACCGAAUUGAACUGAACUGUAUUAUAAUAAUUUGGUUCGGUUUGAUUCGCAUUAGAAAAUCAAAUAGUUUAAAAUUUCUGAAUCAUUUGGUUUUUAAUUUGGUUCGGUUUAAAUCCGAACCAAACGGUUCAGUGAAAGAAUUAAAAAAAAAAAAAAAGUGAAAAGUGAAAACCUAAGCAAACUAAACAGUAAACACACAUUUGACUCAAAUCAGAUUUCAUCGCACAGCCGCAUAACACUCAACAACUAACCACACACGAUCUUAAACUCUUCUUCUCUUACCGGCCGCCACAUACGAGUAGUCAGCCACCGCUCAUCAUCUUCUCUUAGCAUCAUCGUCAUCAGCCUGUCACGGACUCCUGUUCAGCGCCAUCUCCUCUCACGGCAGCUCACAACACGCUGCAGCCUGCAGUCCGUCAAGCUUCCGUCAGCGCCAUCUCUCACGGCAGCUCACAACACGUUGCAGCCUGCAGUCCGUCAAGCUUCCGUCAGCGCCAUCUCUCACGGAAACUCACAACACGCUGCAGCCUGCAAUCCGUCAAGCUUCUCACGCCAUCGCCGUCACUAGUAUUGCCGAACUGCUGUCAAGGACUCAAGGUGCGUGAGACAGCCAACUACUUUUAAAUUUUUAAUCUUGCUUUCAUAUCAUAACAUUCAUAAGUCAUAACAAAAUUGAAUUGCUGUCAAUAAUUGUAUGGUUUAGUCAAAUUAAGUUAAAUUAAUCAAAUUAAGUCAUAAGUCAUAACAUAACAGCCCACUGAUUUAGGCAUUGUGGAUGUGGAAGGAUGAAGAAGUGGUGAUAGGAGGAGUGUUCGUUGGC
rnacentral:lncRNA from 1 species